rnacentral:rRNA from 1 species
GACGAACGCUGGCGGCGUGCCUAAUACAUGCAAGUAGAACGCUGAAGAGAGGAGCUUGCUCUUCUUGGAUGAGUUGCGAACGGGUGAGUAACGCGUAGGUAACCUGCCUUGUAGCGGGGGAUAACUAUUGGAAACGAUAGCUAAUACCGCAUAACAAUGGAUGACACAUGUCAUUUAUUUGAAAGGGGCAAUUGCUCCACUACAAGAUGGACCUGCGUUGUAUUAGCUAGUAGGUGAGGUAAUGGCUCACCUAGGCGACGAUACAUAGCCGACCUGAGAGGGUGGUCGGCCAAACUGGGGAUGGAGCAACGCCCCGGACCCUACGGGGAGGAACAAGUGGGGAUCUUCGGGAAUGGGGGGAAACCUUGACCGGGAAAGCCGGGUGGGUGAAGGAGGGUUUCGGGUCGUAAAAGUCUGUUUUUAGGCAAAGACGGGUUUGGGGGUUGAAAGGUCACACUGUGACGGUAGCUUACCAGAAAGGGACGGCUAACUACGUG